rnacentral:lncRNA from 1 species
UUUGCUGGAAAAGAAAACAGCAGAAGCCAAGGUAAGGUAAAUAACAUCUUUGUGUGGCGUGUUGCAGCUGUCACAGCCGCCAGCAGACAGCCGACUCCCUCACCAGUAAGCACCGCGGCUUAGGUAGGCGGCCCCCUUCUCGCUCCCCAGUGAACGUUCCGAAAACAUCUGCGGGGUCCAAGAGCACAGGGAGAACAGCGCCCCUGACGCAGGCUGCGCACCCGCGCGGAGGAGGCAGCGCGUCAGUCCUGAGGUCACCGCCACCCGCUCCCGGGGGACGGCCGCCUGAGGCUGUGCGCUGGGCAGGUGAGGAGGCGACCACCUCCCAGACGCCUGCCGGAGCUGCGGCGCACCGACUCCCCGCUUCUCCGAGCGGCGAGCGCCACCUGGAGGCUCCCUCGAGAUCUGCAUUUAGGAGGCGACGGGUCCUUUCAUCGUUUUAUUCAUUAAACAUUUAUCGUGUGUUAGGCUCUGGUGACGUGGGGAGAAAUAAAGAUAAUGUCUUGUUUC